CAGUAGCCGCGGUAAUACGUAGGUGGCAAGCGUUGUCCGGAAUUAUUGGGCGUAAAGGGCUCGCAGGCGGUUUCUUAAGUCUGAUGUGAAAGCCCACGGCUCAACCGGGGAGGGUCAUUGGAAACUGGGAAACUUGAGUGCAGAAGAGGAGAGUGGAAUUCCACGUGUAGCGGUGAAAUGCGUAGAGAUGUGGAGGAACACCAGUGGCGAAGGCGACUCUCUGGUCUGUAACUGACGCUGAUGCACGAAAGCUAGGGGAGCAAACAGGAUUAGAUACCCGGGUAGUCCCUGUCUCUUAUAC
rnacentral:rRNA from 1 species